GAAAUGCGAUGAGUAGUGUGAACUGCAGAAUUCAGUGAAUCAUCGAAUCUUUGAACGCACAUUGCGCCCCUUGGUAUUCCAUGGGGCAUGCCUGUUCGAGCGUCAUUUGUACCCUCAAGCUCUGCUUGGUGUUGGGUGUUUGUCCCCGUCUCCGCGCGUGGACUCGCCCCAAAGUGAUUGGCAGCCGGCGUACUGGUCCCGGAGCGCAGCACAUGUCGCGCAAACGAGUGCCUUGGUACGGCGGCGUCCAUAAGCCCCUCUCUCACGCUCUUGACCUCGGAUCAGGUAGGGAUACCCGCUGAACUUAAGC
rnacentral:misc_RNA from 1 species